rnacentral:rRNA from 1 species
UAUCAAAAACAUGUCCUUUAUGUUUUUAAUUUUAAGGUUUAACCUGCCCAAUGAUUUAUUUAAUGGCCGCAGUAUAUUAACUGUGCUAAGGUAGCAUAAUCAUUUGUCUUUUAAUUGUAGGCUAGUAUGAAAGGUUGGACGAGGAAUUAACUUUCUUUAUUAUAAUUCUUGAAUUUAAUUUUUAAGUUAAAAAGCUUAAAUUUUUUUAUGGGACGAGAAGACCCUAUAGAUCUUUAUAUUUAUAUUUAUUUAUUAAUUUUAGGAUUGAUGAUUUUUUUAAGUGAAUUAAUUAUUUAAUUGGGGUGAUUGAAGAAUUUUGUGAACUUCUUUUUUGUUGUUUUCAUAAUUUUAUGUAUAUUUGAUCCA